UGGCAGACUUUAUGGGAAGUAAAAGUUAAAUAUCUAGUACAACAGAGUAAGAAGCAAAUAUUGAGAAAUUCGUCUUCUAUUGAACUGAGUUACAGAAAUUAAGAAUGGGAACGGCUUGGUUCUUCCUAUCUCUCUUCAUUGGCAGACAGUUGAUAGACAUAUGCCUAAUAAACUGAAGCUGCAUAAUAUACGAGGACAAAGCAUUAAAAGCUACAGAGCAGCAGUAUUCAACUCAAUAAACAAGCAAGAGACACAUCACUACAUUGCCACACCUGAUCACCAUCUUUGAUGCCUACAACUCUAAUGUAUGCCUUGUCAUCAAUAAGCUUUUCUCCUUCAUAACAUAAGCAGAAAUGUCCCCAGACAAGUGACCUACGAGCACAUGCAUUCAUGCAAAACUCAAAUAAAAUUACAAACCUACCAAAAGAAACAAAAACAAAAUCAAGGUGGUAAAAUUAGUCACAAGUCUCAUAAGAUGGUCAAUACUACCAUGUAAUCUUGCAGUGUUCGCUCGCCCGGGGUGAAUCAAAAACUUCCUCUAUCGCUUGUUUGAGAUCUGCUACUGUACCAUUGCGCGCUACACGAACACCUGGAUAGCCAAACCAUACGAAAUCCAUUCAAAUUAUAGUUAAUAAUACUGUAAUUCUAGCAAUACAAAGAACGAGUAGCUUCAAA